rnacentral:rRNA from 1 species
UGGGGAAUCUUGCGCAAUGGUCUAACGACUGACGCAGCGACGCCGCGUGUGGGAGGACGCCUUUCGGGGUGUAAACCACUGUUGCCCGGGACGAACAGCGCUAUUCGUGGCGUCUGACGGUACCGGGUGAGGAAGCACCGGCUAACUCCGUGCCAGCAGCCGCGGUAAUACGGAGGGUGCGAGCGUUGUCCGGAAUCAUUGGGCGUAAAGGGCGCGUAGGUGGCCCGGUCAGUCUUUGGUGAAAGCGCGGGGCUCAACCCUGCGUCGGCCAGGGAUACUGCCGCGGCUCGAGCACUGUAGAGGCAGGCGGAAUUCCGGGUGUAGCGGUGGAAUGCGUAGAGAUCCGGAAGAACACCGGUGGCGAAGGCGGCCUGCUGGGCAGUAUGGCUGACACUGAGGCGCGACAGCGUGGGGAGCAAACA